rnacentral:rRNA from 1 species
GCUCUAUAACCCUUUGUGAACAUACCUAUAACUGUUGCUUCGGCGGGUAGGGUCUCCGCGACCCUCCCGGCCUCCCGCCUCCGGGCGGGUCGGCGCCCGCCGGAGGAUAACCAAACUCUGAUUUAACGACGUUUCUUCUGAGUGGUACAAGCAAAUAAUCAAAACUUUUAACAACGGAUCUCUUGGUUCUGGCAUCGAUGAAGAACGCAGCGAAAUGCGAUAAGUAAUGUGAAUUGCAGAAUUCAGUGAAUCAUCGAAUCUUUGAACGCACAUUGCGCCCGCCAGCAUUCUGGCGGGCAUGCCUGUUCGAGCGUCAUUUCAACCCUCAAGCUCUGCUUGGUGUUGGGGCCCUACAGCUGAUGUAGGCCCUCAAAGGUAGUGGCGGACCCUCCCGGAGCCUCCUUUGCGUAGUAACUUUACGUCUCGCACUGGGAUCCGGAGGGACUCUUGCCGUAAAACCCCCCAAUUUUCCAAAGGUUGACCUCGGAUCAGGUAGGAAUACCCGCUGAACUUAAGCAUAUCAAUAAGCGGAGGAAAAGAAACCAACAGGGAUUGCCUCAGUAACGGCGAGUGAAGCGGCAACAGCUCAAAUUUGAAAUCUGGCCCUAGGCCCGAGUUGUAAUUUGCAGAGGAUGCUUUUGGUGCGGUGCCUUCCAAGUUCCCUAGAACGGGACGCCAGAGAGGGUGAGAGCCCCGUACAGUUGGACACCAAGCCUUUGUAAAGCUCCUUCGACGAGUCGAGUAGUUUGGGAAUGCUGCUCAAAAUGGGAGGUAUAUUUCUUCUAAAGCUAAAUACCGGCCAGAGACCGAUAGCGCACAAGUAGAGUGAUCGAAAGAUGAAAAGCACUUUGAAAAGAGGGUUAAACAGCACGUGAAAUUGUUAAAAGGGAAGCGCUUGUGACCAGACUUGCGUCCGGUGAAUCACCCAGCUCUCGCGGCUGGGGCACUUCGCCGGCUCAGGCCAGCAUCAGCUCGCUGUCGGGGACAAAAGCUUCAGGAACGUAGCUCUCUUCGGGGAGUGUUAUAGCCUGUUGCAUAAUACCCUUCGGCGGGCUGAGGUACGC